UAAAAAAAGGUAAGCUACUAAGAGCGAAUGGUGGAUGCCUUGACUGGUAAAGGCGAUGAAGGACGUACUAGACUGCGAUAAGCUAUGGGGAGCUGUCAAGAAGCUUUGAUCCGUAGAUUUCCGAAUGGGGCAACCCAAUGUAUAGAGAUAUACAUUACCUAUAUAGGAGCGAACGAGGGGAAUUGAAACAUCUUAGUACCCUCAGGAAAAGAAAUCAAUAGAGAUUGCGUCAGUAGCGGCGAGCGAAAGCGCAAGAGGGCAAACCCAGUGCUUGCACUGGGGGUUGUAGGACUGCAAUGUGCAAGAGCUGAGUUUAGCAGAACAUUCUGGAAAGUAUAGCCAUAGAGGGUGAUAGUCCCGUAUGCGAAAAACAAAGCUUAGCUAGCAGUAUCCUGAGUAGGGCGGGACACGAGGAAUCCUGUCUGAAUCCGGGUCGACCACGAUCCAACCCUAAAUACUAAUACCAGAUCGAUAGUGCACAAGUACCGUGAGGGAAAGGUGAAAAGAACUGAGGUGAUCAGAGUGAAAUAGAACCUGAAACCAUUUGCUUACAAUCAUUCAGAGCACUAUGUAGCAAUACAGUGUGAUGGACUGCCUUUUGCAUAAUGAGCCUGCGAGUUGUGGUGUCUGGCAAGGUUAAGCAAACGCGAAGCCGUAGCGAAAGCGAGUCUGAAUAGGGCGCUUAGUCAGAUGCUGCAGACCCGAAACGAAGUGAUCUAUCCAUGAGCAAGUUGAAGCUAGUGUAAGAACUAGUGGAGGACUGAACCCAUAGGCGUUGAAAAGCCCCGGGAUGACUUGUGGAUAGGGGUGAAAGGCCAAUCAAACUUCGUGAUAGCUGGUUCUCUCCGAAAUAUAUUUAGGUAUAGCGUUGUGUCGUAAUAUAAGGGGGUAGAGCACUGAAUGGGCUAGGGCAUACACCAAUGUACCAAACCCUAUCAAACUCCGAAUACCUUAUAUGUAAUCACAGCAGUCAGGCGGCGAGUGAUAAAAUCCGUCGUCAAGAGGGAAACAACCCAGACUACCAGCUAAGGUCCCUAAAUCUUACUUAAGUGGAAAACGAUGUGAAGUUACUUAAACAACCAGGAGGUUGGCUUAGAAGCAGCCAUCCUUUAAAGAAAGCGUAAUAGCUCACUGGUCUAGUGAUUUUGCGCGGAAAAUAUAACGGGGCUAAAGUAAGUACCGAAGCUGUAGACUUGCACACAACUUAGAUUAUUUAAGUUUAGAAUAUGAGAAACUAAGUUAUAUGUUUAGUUAUAUUUUUACUGAUUUUUAUAGAGUAAAGAUAGAAAUAAAACUUAGUAAAAUCAGUAAAAAUAUUCUUAGGCUAAAGUUAAGUAGUUUAAGUUGUGUGCAAGUGGUAGGAGAGCGUUCUAUUUGCGUCGAAGGUAUACCGGUAAGGAGUGCUGGAGCGAAUAGAAGUGAGCAUGCAGG
rnacentral:rRNA from 1 species